UCAAGAAGCCUAUUUGCAUAUACAAGAUGACAGGUCAGCUGUUUUGAGUACAUUGUUGUUCAGCUUUCGUGCAUUUUUUUUAAUGGUGUUGCAUCGGGACCAAGUUUGCUUUAAUGAUUAGCAAGAAUCCUUCUUCCUUGAUGGUUUUAGCACUCUUACAUUCUUGGCCAAAGUUGGUUUUGACCUCCAUGGUAAUGCGUGUUUGGAGACCGUAGCUCCACAAUGAUUCUUGAGGUGAUUUCAAUAUGCAAUUUAUUUCCCUUCACAUUCAUAUGUAGGUAGCCUAAGUGUUAUUUUCAUUCAACUGCAUUACCGGUAUCUUUUGUAGUGACCAAGUGUUCAUCUCUUGGAGGAAUACCCGAUCAAAUAAGAGGUCGAGCGUCGGUAUUCCCGGUAUCUAUUUCGAUCUUUUUCUCGGGCAGCGGGACCGUUUUCUUGCUUUGUUGUUAUCUGUUUUGGUCUUCAUUUUUUGUUUUCACUUGGAGAUUAGUAUUUUCUUUUGUUCAUUUUGAAGGGUGCUGGAGCAAAUAGUGUCGUCGUGUUUAAUGCCAGGUUAGCUUUUUCUUUGAUAACUGAGUUCUUUUGUGGGUGUCUCUUUGGAUAUGUUCAUUCUCUGAUGGCUGAGGCAUAUGAUGGGGCUAAUUUGCUUUUGGUGCUUUUGCUGGACUUAGGCAUAUGAUGGGGCUUGCUAGCCUUUGAUGCUUUAGAAGAUCUACUAACCAUUCUCUUCUCCCCAUUUGGCUACUAAAAUGCAAAUGGUAGCAAUCAAUGUCUUGGGAAAGAGUAAGUUUUUGCUAUUGGAUUGGAAGGCUCUUGGAGGAAUAAAGUUAUAACUCUUUUGGAUGCUUGCUGAUCUUUUGGAGGCUAACACUUGAAUACUGUCAUAUUGAUUGUAGCUUCUCAUUUCGGUGUCCCUCAGGCUCUUAUGAACUUUUCUCAUCUCUAGGGACACCUGAUGGUGUUUACAUGAUUCAGUACCAAAAUGCUUGCUUGCUGUGGCUUAUGGACAA